UAGUCCGAUUGGGUGAUUCCGAGGGGGUGUGGGAGGGGCGGGAUGGGCUCUGGGGGAGGACGUCUAAAUGGUUGAGUCUUUUCAGGUUGUGGAUGCCUCCUCCCUCCUGUGCCCCAAAGCUCCCCUCCCCUGCUCUCUCUCGGCAGGUUCAAGUUACUGCUCCGAGAGAAUAGAUGUUUCGGCCCCUCCCCCACUCAGCCAAUCAGAAGGCUGUAAAGCGCUUUGAAAAUACAGGCUACAUCAUGAGAAGACAAGAGUCAUUGGAAAAGACCUCAAUGGUGGGAAAUAUUGAAGGCAAAAGGAAAAGGGAAGAGCAGAAGUUGAGUUGGAUAGAGAGUGUCAUGGAAACAAUGAACAUUAACUUAUGCCAACAAUGGGCAACCUUUUGAGCUUGGUGUGUCAAAAUUCACCAAAAAACCACAAGCAGUGGACAAACUGUGGGAGUAAAAACACCAAGGAAAAGCAACUGCUUGACUACAGGGGUUGAGGGGAUAUGUCUGAGGAGAGACUCUAAAUGAGCACCCUAAUGCAAAUACCAACAACAUGGAAAUGGGUUCAAAUCAAGAGCACAUGUGAUACCCAGUGGAAUCAUGCGCCAGCUAUGGGAGAGGUGGUAGGAGGCGGGGGGAGGAAAAGAAAAUGAUCUUUGUCUCCAAUGAAUAAUGUUUGGAAAUGACCAAAUAAAAUAAUGUUAAAAAAAAUUCACCAAAAAACCAAGCAUAACUCGGAUGGUGUAUCACUUCAAGAAAAAAACAGUCCUUCUCGGCAUGCGGCCCCAUACUUUUCUGUAUGCAGUCACAUGUGGCCACGUGUCAUCAAAAAUGGCUACGUGUGUCAGUGCUGACACACGUGUCAUAGGUUCGCCAUCAUGGACUUAGAGUUUAAGAGAUAAUGGAGGAUAGGAGGACCUGGUGUACUAUGUAUGGUUCAUGGGGUCAAGAAGAGGGAUAAGGGGGCAGCUGGGUGACUCAGUUGAUUGAAAGCCAGGCCUAGAGACAGGAAGUCCUGGGUUCAAAUGUAGCCUCAGACACUUCUUAGCUGUAUGACCCUGGACAAGUCACUUAACCCACAUUGCCUAGCCCUUACCACUCUUCUGCCUUGGAACUAAUACACAGUAUUGAGUCUAAGACAGAAGGUAAAGGUUUAAAAACAAAAAAGACUGAGCAACAACAAUUAAGAAUUCUAAGUUCCUACUAAGUCAUUUGGUGUUGCCCACAAUUAGUGGAUAAGUGAACUAUGUAAUCAAUCAAUUUUUAAAUGUAUAAUUGAAAAAAAUGCUAAAUUUCAGUGAGAGGCCACUGAAUAUAAAGAUGUAAUUUUCCCCCCUUAUCCAAGUUCAUGUACCUAGGUUAAGAAUCCCUGACCUAGAGCUCUCUUUCUAAAAAAACUCAUUGUCAUUUGAAUUAGUGCUGAAAUAGUUUGGUUCAUUUAAUUAGGUCCUUGUGUUUAGUGGGACAGAGAGGACAUCUUGCUAUGAGAAGAAAAAAUAUCUAUCUUUCUAUUCCUUUCUUUUUGUGCUAUUAAAAUCCUUUGGGGUUUGAUUAACAAUUCCUUUUUUAAGAUAUUUCAUCUGUAACUACAAUGGCCAAGAGAGGGGAGAAGAAAAUAUACUUCUUUUAUUGCAGAGCUUAGGAAACUAUGAGUAUGAAAUGGUGCUGAGGAGAUUGCUAUUUGGAUUGAUUAGUUUAAUUGAUUAAUUUUUUUUUUUUGGUUAGAGGGAGUGGAUCACUGGGUAGGAAUAGGGUUAGAGCGAGUCAGAUAGCUAGAAAUGUCAGAGACAUGAAAACAAAAGCUUCAAAAGAAUUUAUUUUCAUGUAACCAAACCCAAGCCUGAGGCAGCUUUGUUGCAGGACUGUCUUGUGUUUAGGAGAGGAGAUUUGACUACAAAUGAUUUGAGAGAUUCUAGACCAAUUCCCCUCUUCAAGAGGAAAAGAGAGAAGAUGGCCUGUCUUCUUUAAUUCUGGAUACUGUAUACCCCUCCUCUCUGCUAGUUUACUGUUGGUGCCACACAGCUCUUCUCUUACUGUCUCCCACAAAGCUGAGCUAACCCUCAAAUCAUAUCUAUCUAUGUCACCUGCAAACUACAUAUAUUGAGAUAACCCUCAUACAUAUGUUCCACAGUUAAACAAUUUUAGUCUUGACCCUAUCUAGGUCUAAGUCAUGAGUCUAAACCAGUGAUGGUGAACCUUUUAGAGACCAUGUGCCCAAACUGCAACCCUCACCUCAUGUGUGAGCCCCCACCUUAUUCCAGACAAAGGAGGGAGGAAGCACUACCAUUGCAUUUCUGGGCAGAGGGGUGGGUGAAGUGAGAAGUGCCCUUGGCCAUGCAUGGAUAGAGGGAGGGGAGGAACCCCCUCUGGCAUGCUCCAGAACAUAUGCCAUAGGUUCAUCAACAUGGGUCUAAACCAUGUUGCCUGGGGUAAAUUUAGUCCUAUUCGGACUUAUAAGCAAAUAUCCAAAGAGCUGAUCAGUUUCUAUUUGAGAAUUUGGUUAUAGAUUUCCCAAGUUUUCUUUUCCAAAAAUGAAACUUUGAGAAUCUAUUGUAAGGGAGAUUUUUACUAAAAAGGUCAUUAAAGCCUAUAUCUACCCCCACAGAACUUGAAAAACAUGUCAGACUGUGGGAAAUUGGGGUAGGUUUUUAUUGUUAAAAUUUUGCCAAAGCAGAGUGUCCAUCUUCUGACUGUCACUGUGUCUCUGCUGAUGGGGAGUGCCAAAGAAUAGUGCCCCCAGAAGUCAAUUGUCUAUGUGUCAGCAACUUGUCUCCCUUCCAUUUCUGGUAACCCAGGAACACUCUCAGACAUUCCUGAGAACAUUGCCCUUUGUCCCUUGUUAUGGUCAAUGGUAAAUCACUAUGACCAGAAGAGGGAAAUGUCAACCUUGUUUUAUGAAACCCCAAAUUUACCUUUGUCCCAUGAGAAUUUGUCUUUAAGAAAUUCCCAGACUGACCUUUUGUCCCAGACUGAACAACAGGCCAUCAAGAGCACCUAUUGGGCACCUAGAUAGGAAUGAGGGUAGUAGUCUUAAGUACCCUUCUUUUAUUUUCUUAAUUUCUCUUUUAGACUUCUCCUAGAUACUCUAGCUUCAGACUACAGCCUUUUUCUCAAGCUCCUAUGCAACCAGUCAGUUGUUUCUCUUUGGUUAUAUUCCUCAGGCAUUAAUAAAGCCUUAACUUCUUUACUUUAGUUCAAAGGAAAUUCCAAUUCAUGGUGAUUAUUCCUAGAGAUAUUGUUCCCAGAGUCUCAGAGCUUGGCUCAAUGUGAUGUUGUGUGUGUAUUACCCUGUGUGGUAGCCAUAAGAGCAUUGUAUCUCCUGUCCUGAUUAAAGACAUAUUCUU